rnacentral:rRNA from 1 species
GCAGGGGGGACCCUGUGGGAGAGUAGGACGCCGCCGAAC